rnacentral:ncRNA from 1 species
AUCGUGUCAGGUGCUCACGUUAAGCCCACUGACUUUCAUGUCCCUAUCUACUAUCUAGCGAAACCACAGCCAAGGGAACGGGCUUGGAAUAAUUAGCGGGGAAAGAAGACCCUUUUGAGCUUGACUCUAAUCUGGCAGUGUAGGGAGACAUAAGAGGUGUAGAAUAAGUGGGAGAUAUUAGACUGCGGUUUGGUAUCGACAAUGAAAUACCACUACUCUUAUUGUUUCCUUACUUACUUGAUUAAAUGGAACGUGUAUCAUUUCCUAGCCAUUAUACGGAUAUAAUUAUUAUGUCUUAUGGUAUUGGGUUUUGAUGCAAGCUUCUUGAUCAAAAUAUCACGAGUUUGUUAUAUAAUCGCAAACAAAUUCUUUAAUGAGAGAAUGCAUUUAUGUAUUAUUGAUUUAAAAAUUUGGUAUAACUCCAAUUACUCAGGUAUGAUCCAAUUCAAGGACAUUGCCAGGUAGGGAGUUUGGCUGGGGCGGUACAUCUCUCAAAUAAUAAUUGAAGAUUGUUCACCCAUGCAGGGACCGUGAGCUGGGCUUAGACCGUCGUUAAACAGGUUAGUUUUACCCUACUAAUGACAAAACGUAGUUGCGACAGCAUUCCUGCGUAGUACGAGAGGAACCGCAGGUACGGACCAAUGGCACAAUACUUGUUCGAGCGAACAGUGGUAUGACGCUACGUCCGUUGGAUUAUGCCUGAACGCCUCUAAGGUCGUAUCCGUGCUGGACUGCAAUGAUAAAUAAGGGGCAAUUUGCAUUGUAUGGCUUCUAAACCAUUAAAAGUUUUUAAUUUGUUUUAUUAACGACAAUGGAUGUGAUGCCAAUGUUAUUUAUAACAUAGUAAAUUGGGAGGAUCUUCGAUCACCUGUUGCCGCGCUAGUUAUAUUUUAAAACAUUAUUUAAUACAAUGUCAAAGCCUAGAAUCAAUUGUAAACGACUUCUGUAACAGGCAAGGUGCUGUAAGUGGUUGAGCAGCUGCCAUACUGCGAUCCACUGAAGCUUAUCCUUUGCUUGAUGAUUC